rnacentral:rRNA from 1 species
GUCGAACGAAGUAGCAAUACUUAGUGGCAGACGGGUGAGUAACAUGUAGGUAUCUUCCCAUUGGUGAGGAAUAACACGAGGAAACUUGCGCUAAUACCACAUAAGUCUUUACGGAGAAAGCUUUAUGCGCCGAUGGAUGAGCCUGCACUUGAUUAGUUUGUUGGUAGGGUAAUGGCCUACCAAGACAAUGAUCAAUAGCUGAUUUGAGAGGAUGAUCAGCCACAUUGGGACUGAGACACGGCCCAAACUCCUACGGGAGGCAGCAGUAGGGAAUCUUGCACAAUGGGGGAAACCCUGAUGCAGCGAUGCCGCGUGAGUGAAGAAGGCCUUUGGGUUGUAAAGCUCUUUCGUCGGGGAAGAAAAUGACUGUACCCGAAUAAGAAGGUCCGGCUAACUUCGUGCCAGCAGCCGCGGUAAUACGAAGGGACCUAGCGUAGUUCGGAAUUACUGGGCUUAAAGAGUUCGUAGGUGGUUAAAAAAGUUGGUGGUGAAAUCCCAGAGCUUAACUCUGGAACUGCCAUCAAAACUUUUUAGCUAGAGUAUGAUAGAGGAAAGCAGAAUUUCUAGUGUAGAGGUGAAAUUCGUAGAUAUUAGAAAGAAUACCAAUUGCGAAGGCAGCUUUCUGGAUCAUUACUGACACUGAGGAACGAAAGCAUGGGUAGCGAAGAGGAUUAGAUACCCUCGUAGUCCAUGCCGUAAACGAUGUGUGUUAGACGUUGGAAAUUUAUUUUCUGUGUCGCAGCGAAAGCAAUAAACACACCGCCUGGGGAGUACGACCGCAAGGGUUAAAACUCAAAUGAAUUGACGGGGACCCGCACCAGUAGUGGAGCAUGCGGUUUAAUUCGAAGAUACGCGCAGAA